CCUACGGGAGGCAGCAGUGAGGAAUAUUGGUCAAUGGGCGAGAGCCUGAACCAGCCAAGUCGCGUGAAGGAUGACGGCCCUACGGGUUGUAAACUUCUUUUGUCAGGGAGCAAUUGGGUCCACGCGUGGGCUUAGCGAGAGUACCUGAAGAAAAAGCAUCGGCUAACUCCGUGCAAGCAGCCGCGGUAAUACGGAGGAUGCGAGCGUUAUCCGGAUUUACUGGGUGGAAAGGGCGUGUAGACGGGAAGGCAAGUCAGAUGUGAAAUCCGGAGGCUCAACCUCCGAAUUGCAUUUGAAACUGGUUGUCUUGAGUACUGGAGAGGCAGACGGAAUUCGUGGUGUAGCGGUGAAAUGCGUAGAUAUAAGGAGGAACACCAGUGGCGAAGGCAGUCUGCUGGACAGCAACUGACGGUGAGGCGCGAAAGCGUGGGGAGCAAACAGGAUUAGAUACCCGGGUAGUC
rnacentral:rRNA from 1 species